AGAACGUCCACACAAGCGCCUAGCUUCAACGUGUCGAUUGGGCAAGUCUCUGGCUUAGGUGGAGUUGGUGUUGGCGGUGUUACGACCGGUGGGCUUGGUGUUGGUGGCGUAACAACAGGUGGCGGUGGGCACGGUGAUGGCGGUGGCGGUGGGCACGGUGAUGGCGGCGUUACGACGGGUGGAGGCGUAUGAGUGGGUGGUUUAGGGGUGGACGGAGGUGGUUUAACAGUGGGCGGUUUCGUGGGUGGUUUCGGGGUAGACGGAGGAGGUUUAACGGUGGGCGGUUUCGUGGGUGGUUUCGGGGUGGACGGAGGUGGUUUAACGGUGGGCGGUUUCGUGGGUGGUUUCGGGGUGGGAUGAGGUUUGGUAGGGGGUUUCGGAUGUGGGUGUGGUUUGACAGUGGGCGGUUUGGUAGGGGGUUUAGGGUGUGGGUGUGGUUUGACGGUGGGUGGUUUGGGAGGUUUUACUGCCGGUGGUUUAGGCGGUUUGCUAGGAUGUUUAGGCGGUUUGUGGGGGUGAGGUGAUGGUUUAGGAGGGCUACAGUCGCAAGCGAAGGAGACGGCAAGAAAGCCAAGGAAGAGGAAGAUAAGAAAAGAGAGGUUUUGUGUACGAGACCCCAUUUUUCUAGAGUGAGGGUGUGGUUUACCCAAAGGACUGAGUAAGAAAGAUAUAUGAGUGUAUCAUUUUAUAGAAAGAUAUUAAAAUAUAUUUGCUAUAUAUAAUUUUCAAAUAUGCAUUUUGUGACUAGAUUAUUGAAACUGAAUUUCAGUUUUUGUUUUUGUUUUGAAAUCUAGAUUUUGUAGCAUGUGUUAAGUCACUUAGUUACAACUUACAAGUUGUCAUUUCCUGAGUUGUAAAAAAAUAGGACAACAUUCGUUAUAUAUAUACUUCCAUAGAAACUCUAUUGUGGUUGUGGAUCAACCUAUGUGAAGAGGAUACAAAAAAAUAAGCUUUAAAGAUUUUAGUAAGUUCAAUUUUUUUUUGUAUUUUUCUUAUUGAUCAAAACACUGCCAAAAGCAAAUAAACUGCAUUUGGUGCGAAGAACUCAAAUACUACUCCUCGCAAGGUUUCUGCCAAAUCAUUUGCUCUAUCCUUCUCCCUUUGAGUUUUUUUUAAUCUAGGGAGAUAUAUAUACCUUGUUAUUCAUAGUCUACUUAGAACAAGGAAGCAGAUAUAUAUUAGAUUUCUAAUAUACAACCUCUGAGUAACUCGGAUUCGGCCACCUCCUCGAAUCAUAGGAUGACUCUAUCCACUCUUCAAUGUACGUAAUAUUAUUUGAUCAUCCAUGUUUUUGCACUCGGUAAUUUCUAGCUAUAUAUUAAAACUGGAAAUUGUUUUGAGUAAAUUCGAUUAUGAAUAGUUGGUAAACGUAUGGUUUUAUGCUUCUGCCACGGUUGUUUAAAUAAAGGAAUAAAAGAGUGCAAUUUUAACCAAAAAAAAAAAAGAGAGAGAGAGAGAGUGCAAUUUCAGUUCUACGAGACCUUGAUCUGAAUCCAAAAUAUAUUAUGAUAAAAAAAAAAUUCAUGCCACCAAAAAUAUUUUUCUUAAAGAAAAUAUGAUAAUUGGCCAAAAACCAUGAAAUUUGUGUUUUGUUUUAUCAACGUUGAGUUGACCUAGUGAUAAAGGAAUUGCGACUGUAACUUCCGCCACUUGGGUUCAAUUCACAGUGAAAGAAACUAUUUACAAUGCUUGGGUUUUCGGUUUUUUAGACCAAAAAGAAAAAUCCUUUGUUUUAAUUUCUUGGACAUGAUCAUAAUGGUUUAGCCAAUAUAAAACGUACAAACAUGAAAAUGUUUGACGAAACGACCACCGGAGAUAGAAUUGUCAUCAUGCAUUGAAAAACAUAAACUUUCGCAAAGGUAGGCACCAUUAUCGUACGUCUUAUAUGUUUUCUAUUUCUUUCUUUUGUUCUCGUUUCCAAAAGGCUAUUGUCACCAAGCUUUUCCAUCACAUAUUUUCCGUAAAAUGAUCGAUAUUUUCAUAUAUGGGUAAAACUUAGCUUUUCCAAAUAUGCGUUCUCUUUUUAUAAUCCUGUCUAAUAGUGUCUUGCACUCUGGUUUGUUAAAUCGGAGAUCCAGUUGGUCAAAUAUCUAAAAUCAAGGCGUAAAUCAGGGAAAUGUCCCGAUAUUGCCAAGCUCUAAUACUCUAGCAUAAUAGCAUUUUAAAGAAUGCCCAGUCUAUCAGCGUUUAACAGUCACUAGAUUAAAACAUUUGUUAUGUUAUUGCAUAGAUUUUCUUUUCUAAAAAAACUUUGGGCAGACAUAUUUUGUAAUUACUAGUGAAAACAAUGGGAGUAACCAGAGGAUUUUGUAGUGUUAUGGCCAGUGGGCAGACAAUUUAUGAAGGGAUUUUGUCAGCAUUACUUGACUUAAGACACACCUCCCAUCUUCUAUAGUGACAAGAUAUAAUUAAAGACAUCCUUCUCACUCUUCUUUUUUUCUAGUUCCUUCCGUUUUAGGUCCACUUUUCGAGAAGCAUAUUAGGCAAGUUCAGAACUUCUCUUGGGUUUUAGUUUAUGUUUUUACCUAUUCAAAAAGGAGGAAAAUAAUCAGUUUUGGUUUAGCAUACCAAACCUACGAUGUAAAGUAUUCAAAUGUUCAGUAUUCAUAUAAAGUAUAUAAGUCGAUAUAUCUUGAGCCAAGGUCCGAGUUAUUGGGAUUUCGUAGGUAGAUGACAGGUUAAAAAGUAUUCGUUUAUAUUGAUGAAAUCACUCCCCCACACCUCCAUAACGUGUUUCGGCCGUUCAGUCAUUUACAUUUUCAUAUAACCAAUCUAGGCUUUGGAUCAUAUAUUAUCCAUCCAUAUGAUUUGUUCAAAGCUUUUUCUUUAGUUUGUUUUUGUCUCCCGCGUUUGAAAGAUACGAGCUUUGUGAGCCUUUUAUCAGAUCUUUAAGUGAUUGAAUAGCGUCCGUGAUUGAUGAUUCUCUUUAGAAUUUUUCCAUUAAAUAAUAUUAAUUUUAAAAUAUAUAUUGUACUACUAUUAUACUAGUGAUGAUUCAGAAUAUGAUUUCAUAGUGUAAAUAGGUCAACAUAUACUAAUUAAAGCUAAAUCUACUAUAUGAUUGGUAAAAUUGAAACGAUCAUUUGGUUAACACACACGUUCACUGCGUUUGAAAUAACAAAACUGUAAAUUUACUUUCUUCAGAACACGAUUUAUAGUUAUUUUUCUCCCAGAUUCUUUCACAUGGUAUAGAAAGCUUAUUUAUUAGUAUUGUUGGGGAUUUUUGUUAUUCAAAUUUCUAUUUGUCAUGAAUAAAUUUAUUAUUGAACAGUUUUCACCAUACUAUUCGCAGGUGUACUAAGAAAAGGUAGAGUGAAAGUUGUACAAAAUCCCAUUGUGUCCGAGGAGUAAGAGCACUUCCAAUGGAAGUUCUACCCAUUAAAAUUCUAAAUAUGAAUAUGUAUAUAUGUAUAUAUUGUAUAUAUGUAUGUAGUUGUGGGGUCUACUAAAUAGUAUAAAAUUUCUAUUCAAAAGGUAUAAUUUUGGAGAUUCUCUAAAAGUUUUCUCUACCACUUUUUCUCUGAACAAACUUUUUUUUCUCUGAACAACCUUUCUUUGCCAUAUUCACUUUCGCAUCUCUAUUGACAAUAUCGCAAAAACAUUGUGGUUUAUUUUCUAAUUCAGUUUAUCAAGAACUGUUUAAAAUUAUUUUAGUUAUAAACCUACUUUGUAUGAUAAAUUAUGAAAUUAAAAACUUUUAGAUUUAUUGAAUAAAACAAAAUAAAGUUUAGACGCCACUACAAGGUGGCGGGUAGGAUUUGGCGGGUAGCAAAAACAUUGUAAACCCGUGAAGUCUGUCACUUUUAGGAUUUAUUUUUCUUUAAAAACCAAAAAUGGGAAAUGGAUAAUGUGACGUGCUGAAUGCAUCACAUGCAUGCAUGUGACUCCACCAUAAUUUAAGAAAAAACAAACUUAAAAAAAUGUGGUCUGACUCUCUGAGUACUCAUGUCCUAGUCGUGAGGACACGUCAGUCCAUCACCAGCCGGGGGAAAAAAUGUACACGAGAAAAGAUGUCGUUGUGAUAAUUUGUUUUGCAGAAGCUUUUUUUUUUGCAAUUAAAAAGUGGAGAAGAAGAAAUCGAACCCGGUUUUGCGGAAGCUUGAUCAUUUCUUUACUGAUAGAGUGAUAAUAGUUAGAGAAAAUUGGCCCAUGUACCCUUAAAUGAUCCCUUAAUUUGAGCUUUGCGCCUGAAAUGACAGUAUUAGUUUUAUUCUGAAAUUAACCUUACUUCCUCGUUGACGGCUUUAGAUGAAGUUGUGUCAGUAUACCCUGUGCAUGUCGAAAAUAUGUAUCAGAUGGAAAAUUCUUUUCUAGUUCUCUUUCUUCUCGUAAUCUCUUUCUUUUCAAAGGUCUUUUUUUUUUCUUUUCACUUCUCUAUAUUAAAUGUGUGUUUUGCAAUGUCUUUCUUCUCUCCUUCUCUAUUUUUUUUUGGUGUAAAUGUUAAGAUUUAUACCAACUUUUCUGUUUUUUGAAUUACAAGAUGUGGCAAGCCACUUAUUAAGCAACAAGAAGAGAAAGAAGGAAAAGAAGCAAGAAACUAAGGUUCAUUACAAAGAAAGGCGGAGUAAAGCUGCAGGAGCGAGACAUGAGAUGGAGAUCGAGUCGGGAUAGAGAGCAGCCGGUCCCUAAUCAUGCGAUCUACCCUUGAAGCCAGCACCGUUGCAGGAAUAGAAGUGGUUGUGAAGAUGCGUGCGUUCCUUUCCCUCCACAAGCAAUAAAUGACAACCUGCAAAAUUAGCUUGAGGACUGGUAUAGUCCUAGGUGUAGAAGUGAACUGGUGACAUCGCAUCGCGUUGGCACACGCUAGUGUUGAGACCGGAGGAGCCGAGAGAUAUCUUCCUACACAGAAACGCGACCAAACAGAAGAAGCAUAGGUGCAUUGAAAGAAUAGGUGAUCAUGUGAUUCUAGCCCAGUUGAGCAGAGCACACAGUGCGCCGGAACAUUCAUGCCCCAAGACGCUAGCCGAUCCCUUGUUGGUAGUCGUUGAAGCACAGACAGCCAGGUGAUAAACGAGCAACGCGGGAUUUCCUCCUUAAACCAGACCAAGCCUGCCCAUGAAACUGGCUCUGCAGUCUGCCUUAUGAGCUCCCAUGUUCUCUUGGUGGAGAAUUGUUUGUCAUAACUACUGUCCCCACUGCGCCACAGAUAGCAAUCUUUACCUCUCGAGGGAGAUGGUGGUGGGAUUGUGGAAAGAACAAUCUGUAGUGUCUCGGACUCAUCAGAUCUAGCUGAUGGGAUUUGCCAGGUUCCAUCCCUAGUUGCCUCGGAAACUGUAGAGUUUAGGGGAAUGCGGAGAUCUCUUGGACCCGUAGGACCCAUUGCCGAGAUCAAAGGCCCCAUAUCUGUCCACCAGUCAAACCAAAAAGACGCUGACCUGCCAUCGCCUAUAGAGCAUCGAAGGAAAUAUUCAACUGUCGACUUGAUGGAGAUCAUAUUUUUCACCGUUGAAGAAAACCGUGCUGCAUUUUCCAUAAUCCAGUAGCUUUUGCGGAUGAAAACGUUGUUGUACAACCAACGGCUCCACAACGACUCAGAGGAGGUGAAAUAAUUCCAGACUCUCUUCAACUGGAAUACCGACUGAUAAUCUUCAAGCUUUCGGAUCCCCAAGCCUCCCUCUUGCUUAGGUUUACAGAUACUCUCCCAUGAAACCCGGGCUCCCGAAGCCGAAGUGGUUUUGUUGUUCCAUAGAAAGGCUGAGCAUAGAGAAUCCACUUUUGCGUAGAACCGCUUAGGUAAAGUGAAUACCGAACUCCAAAAAUUGACCAUCCCGUAGAUAACGGAGGUCACCAUUUUUAUCUUUCCAGCAAAGGACAAACAUUUAGCCGUCCAUGAAUGAAGCUUAUUGGUGAUUCGCUCCAGAAAUGGCUGCAGGGAUUCGAAGUUCAAACGAGUCGGAUUCAGGGGUAAGCCUAGAUAACGGGUAGGAAAAGAGCCCUUCUUGAAUCCUGAGAGGUCACUAAUUACAGAAGCUUCGAUACUACUAUAACCCCCAAGAAAGAUUUCUGAUUUUGUGGGGUUAGUAUCAAGACCAGUCCAGCAUUUGAAAGACCUCAUUACUGCUUUAAUCCCAUUGAUUGAGUGAUUAGACCCGUCAGAGAAGACAAGCAAGUCGUCCGCAAACAGCAAGUGAGUCACUCUAGGAUGGGCACAUAAAGGAUGUAAACUCAUACCCUCUUCAUCAACCAAUUUCUCAAAUAAUUUUGACAGCACUUCCAUAAUCAUGAUAAAGAUAUAUGGGGAGAUAGAGUCACCUUGACGCAAGCCUUUUUUACCGGCGAAGAAUCCAGCCAGCUCGCCAUUUACGGAAACGGAGAAUCUUGGAGAGGUCAUACACUCUUUAAUCCAGGUAACGAAGAUCGGGGGAAAGGAUUGAGCUUGCAACAAUUUGAUAACGAAGUCCCAGCAGACAGUAUCAAACGCCUUCCGUAGGUCUACCUUUAGCGUGCAGCUUGGCUGGCAGUUUGCUGAGUUGUAUGACUGAAUCAGUUCGGUCGCUAAGAGGACAUUGUCCCCCAGAGAUGUGCCCUUCAGAAAAGCCGCUUGAUUUGGGCUCACACAAGACUGCAUAAGAGGUUUUAACCUGUUGGUGAUUAUUUUCGAAAUGACCUUGUAGACUAUGUUGCAGCAACUAAUCGGUCUGUAGUCUCCCAGUCUGCAUGCUUCAGGGGUCUUAGGUAUUAGAGCAAUGGCUGUGGUAUUCAGAUCCUUUAGGAGACGACCAUUCCUGAAGAAUUCUGCUACCGCAUUAACGACGUCCUGCCCUACGGUGUCCCAAGAAGCCCGGAGAAACUCAACACAAUAGCCAUCGGGGCCAGAACUCUUGUUCAGCGGCAUUGAGAAGACUGUGGCCCGGAUCUCCGCUGCUGUGACUACUCUACUCAAAUACCGUUGUUGUAAUUCUGAGCAUCUGAACCCUAACAGACCUUGUAGUUCAGUGACAGUUACCGGCGAAGUAGCCAUAUCUGUCUGCCCUAAGAUUCCUUCAAAAUAAGCCGCAGAAUGGGCUUUAAUACCAGCAGCUGUUCCAAUAAACUGAUCAUUUUCGCCUUUAAGGAAGUGAAUGUGAUUGCGAGUCAGACGUUGAGAGACUGUCUUAUGAAAGAACGGUGUGUUACGAUCUCCCACAUCUGCCCAUCGCACUCUUGAUCGUUGUCUAUAGAACUUUUGCUCUGCAGUUAGCAACAUGUUGAGCUUCGCUCGGUCCCUGUGCUCUUGCUCUGCUGUAUUCCUGUCUGGAGCAGAUAGUAGCGAACGUUGCAGUCCCUCUACGACACUCGUUUGCUCCUUUACCCGCUGAGAGAUACCACUAAAAUGAGUCUUGUUCAGGUAACGGAGAUCCUUUUUCAAACCUUUCAGAGAGCGGACUAGUUUGAAUUGAUCCGAUCCUACAAUCUGAUUAGGCUUCCAAGCUUCGGAGACUGUUGCAGCAUAGUCCGGAUGGUCAAUGACAUGAUGAAAGAACUUGAACGGCUUACAGGACUGUCGUCUUAGCGACGGAAUUCUGAAGGCACAAGGAGCAUGAUCAGACUGGCCUGGUUCUAAGUAUUCAGCAUAAGAAUCAGGAAAUACUGAUGCCCAGGCCUGGUUAAUGAAAGCGUGAUCAAUCUUCUUAGAAAUAGGGUUAUCAACUUGGUUAUUCCACCAGGUGAAUGGAGAACCCUUUGAUUGAGCUUCGAAUAACUCAGCAUCCUGAAGUGCCGUUGUCAUAUCUUCCAUACCCGUAGUAUCAAUAACAGAAUCAGGGUAUUGGGAGUGAUUACUAACCCUGAUGAUUUGGUUGAAGUCGCCUACAACCGACCAGGGAGAGUGAGAAACCGAUGUUGUUCUGUUGAUGAGGGUAAGUUCAUCCCAAAGAGAUUGCCUAGCUUCCACCUCAUUAAACCCAUACGCAAAAGUGACGGUGAGGUUGAUAUUUUCCGCCAUUAUGAAAAUUCCACAGGUAAUUGCCUCAGCAGAGGCACUAUACACAAAAACUGAUACCGUCGGGUCCCAAACGACCACUAUCCUACCGGCUGGAUGAUGUUCAAAAUUCCCAAAAUACCUCCACCCUGCCGGAAUUGCAUUCAAAAUCCGAGAUUGGUUAUUUUCUUGUACAUGUGUUUCCAAAAAAGCUCCCAGUAGAGGUCUGUGGAUAUUAAUCCACUCUCUGGUCAUUGUGUGGCGUAUAUCACUAUUCAGUCCUCUAACAUUCCACGCAAAAAAUAUCGACAUAAUGAUUAGUGGUUGCGUUUGGCCUUGCGGCGACUCUUUCUCCCGAGAACCAGCAGAAAGCCAUCAUCACUUGUAGCAUCAUGAUCAGUUUGUGAGUAACCUGACCUGUGCUCCUCCACUCGCCUCUCGUGAAUUACAUCACUACUAGACUCUUUAGUAGUAUUAUAAUUCAGUGAGACUUUAUCAUUUGUAGAUUGUCUGGUACAACCAUUUUCCGGAGGAUGCACUGCAUCCUCAACAGCCACUCCCUCCGCAGCAUCCUCAGCAGCCACUGCAACCUCAGCAGUCCCAGUGGGAUCAAUUGAUGUCUCCGCUGUUCCUAGACUGAUCUCUCCCUCCUCUCGAUCAAUGGCAGCAGGAUCUCUGUCUUUUUCCGGAGAGAUCUUCACAUUAUGGACAGGUUUACGGGAAUGCCUUCUAUUGUUGGGGCGGGAGCGUCCAGCGCGUUCCUGAAUUGGUUUCUUCUCCCUACUACGAGAUGUGCUUCUGUCCCGAUUAACCACUGUUCUUCCUCCAACCGCGGGUACCCGACAUUUAUCAUUCUCGUGCCCAAAUCUCCCACACUGACUACAUUUUACUGGUAACCAGGGGUAGGUAACAGAUAUUUCAACCUCACGACCAUUAGAAAACCCUGAGAUAAUCUUUGAGGGUAGUGGUUUGGUA
rnacentral:lncRNA from 1 species